CUGUGACGGCGUGCCUUUUGUAGAAUGAGCCAGCGAGUUGCGGUUGGCGGCGAGGUUAAGGCGUGAACCGAGCCGCAGUGAAAGCGAGCCUUUAAGAUGGCGAUCAGUCGCCAGCCGCAGACGCGAAGCCGGGUGAUCUAUCCAUGGGCAGGCUGAGGCAGAGGUAAGACUCUGUGGAGGGCCGAACCCACUUCGGUUGAAAACGGAGGGGAUGACCUGUGGAUAGGGGUGAAAGGCCAAUCAAACCCGGAGAUAUCUCGUUCUCCCCGAAAUAGCUUUAGGGCUAGCCUCGAUCGCUUACCGACGGUGGUAGAGCACUGGAUCCGUGCGGGGGCCUCACCGCCUACCAACCGAAACCAAACUCCGAAUGCCGUCGGUCCCGAGAUCGGGAGUCAGAACAUGUGGGCUAAGCCGUGUGUUCGAGAGGGAAACAGCCCAGACCGCCUGCUAAGGUCCCCAAAUCAACGCUGAGUGGCAAAGGAUGUGCGUUUGCCUAGACAACCAGGAUGUUGGCUUAGAAGCAGCCAUGCAUUUAAAGAGUGCGUAACAGCUCACUGGUCAAGUGGACAUGCGCCGACAAUACACGGGGCUAAGCGUUGUACCGAAGCAGCGGACUGUUUUAUCAGUGGUAGGGGAGCUUUCCAUGCCGGGGCGAAGCCGACGGGCGACCGUCGGUGGACUGCAUGGAAGUGAGAAUGCUGGCAUGAGUAACGAGAGAGGGGCGAGAAACCCCUCCGCCGUAAGCCUAAGGGUUCCUGGGCAAGGCUAAUCCCCCCAGGGUCAGUCGGGAGCUAAGGCGAGGCCGACAGGCGUAGCCGAUGCACAACAGGCGGACAUUCCUGUACCACCGCGGAGCGUUACUACGACGGGGUGACGGAGAAGGGUAGCCGGGCGGGGUUCUGGACGUCCCCGUGAAAGCGCGUAGGCCGCAGGGCAGGCAAAUCCGCCCUGCAGCGAGGCCGAGACGUUAGACGAAGCUUCAUGUGAAGCCGGCGAGCCCAUGCUUCCGAGAAAAACCUCUAAGGAGCGAGGCGGUGCCCGUACCAAAACCGACACAGGUAGGCGGGUAGAGCAUACCAAGGCGAUCGGGAGAACCAUGGUUAAGGAACUCGGCAUACUGACUCCGUAACUUCGGGAGAAGGAGUGCCCCCGCCUGUGAGGUCCCACGCGGACGGAGCGGGAGGGGGUCGCAGCGAAACGGCCCAAGCGACUGUUUACCAAAAACACAGGACUCUGCAAAGCCGCAAGGCGACGUAUAGGGUCUGACGCCUGCCCGGUGCUGGAAGGUUACGCGGAUGAGUUAGCGCAAGCGAAGCCCUGAAGCCAAGCCCCAGUAAACGGCGGCCGUAACUAUAACGGUCCUAAGGUAGCGAAAUUCCUUGUCGGGUAAGUUCCGACCUGCACGAAUGGCGUAACGACUUGGGCGCUGUCUCAACCAUGGACCCGGUGAAAUUGUAUUAUUCGUGAAGAUGCGAAUUACCUGCGGAAGGACGGAAAGACCCCGUGAACCUUUACUGCAGCUUGGCAUUGGCUGUUGGUGCGGUGCGUAGAGGAUAGGCAGGAGCCUGCGAACCGGGAACGCCAGUUCCCGGGGAGGCGCCCUUGGAAUACUGCCCUCACCGCAUCGGCAGCCUAACGCGCCGCCCUCAUCGGGGGCGCGGACCGUGCCAGGUGGGUAGUUUGACUGGGGCGGUCGCCUCCUAAACUGUAACGGAGGCGUGCGAAGGUUCGCUCAGGGCGGUUGGCAAUCGCCCGCAGAGCACAAGAGUACAAGCGAGCCUGACUGCGAGACCAACAAGUCGAGCAGAGACGAAAGUCGGUUCUAGUGAUCCGGCGGCCCAGCGUGGAAUGGCCGUCGCUCAACGGAUAAAAGGUACUCCGGGG
rnacentral:rRNA from 1 species